GGUUAGGUUAGGUUAGGUAAGGCUUGGCUAGGUUAGGCUUGCUUAGGUAAGGUUUGGCUAGGUUAGGUUAGGUUAGGUUAGGUAAGGCUUGGCUAGGUUAGGCUUGCUUAAGUAAGGUUUGGCUAGGUUAGAAUUGCUUAGGUUAGGUUAGGUAAAGUUUGGUUAGGCCAGCUUGAGAUUAAGACACGAGAUAGCCAGUCUUGGGGAGGAGGAAGCACCAGACAGAAGUUAGGGUAGGCUUCUUUGGGUUAGGCUUGGUUUGAUUAGGGUCAGCUGAGAAGUGUGAAGCUCCACCACGUUUGGUUAAAUUUGAGGUAAUAUUUUAGUCAUUUUCUCUCUCACCACCAAAAUUUUCCCACUGUGUAAACUUUGUUAAUAUUUUUUAUCUGAAGGCUACAAAACACAUCACUCGCUUUCCAUCCCAGACCCCUAAACACCACCCCUUUCUUCCUUCCUUAGCAUCAGCCAGCCAGCCUCUUUGGACUUAAAUGAAGGAAACUUUUAAACACGUAGAUAUAAUAUAACAUUUUCUUCUUCACACACACACACACACACACACACACACACACACACACACACA